rnacentral:rRNA from 1 species
GUCUAUGGCCAGGUUACCCUGAACAAGCUCGAUCCCGUCUGAUCUCGGAAACUAAGCAGGGUUGGGCCUGGUUAGUACUUGGAUGGGAGACCACCUAGGGAGACCAGGUGCUAUAGGUA